GCAGGACUUCAUGAAGCAGGAGCCCCUGGAUUGUGUGGCUUCUCCCGUUCGCUACAGGGCGAUUCUUGCGGUGGAGCACUUGAGCAAGAUCAAGCCAUCUCUGACCCAGAAGGAAAACUGUCAUCUUCUUCAGGAGUGCUUCCGAAGCCUAUUUCCCCUUCCUCCCCUUGAGCAGACAAAAGAAGGGGAGGCAGCAGAUGAUGCUGAGCAUGCAGAGGCUCUCUAUACACGAUCCCUGGAAGCUCUUGCUCGCCUCAUGACAAGUCUUGAGGAAGAGCUGACCUUGUCAUGGCUCAAGGAAACC